GGACGCUGUGAAACAUUUGCAUGCAUGAAGAGCACGCUUCACACCAUAAACAAUCGUCAGGAAGCGUCCAGAAACAUGUGGGACGGACUUAUUUCCGGAUGAACGACACGCGCGCGCACACACGCGCCACGCAAAACCUCCUUCCACCCAGAGGCUCCCGCUCCCAGGUGUGAACACGGAAAUUGUCCACUGCCUCGCGCCCCGGCCGACGGCGCACCCACUCAGCUCCAGGGGCAACUGCCUGGGCCUUUCUCGAGGAGCUGGAGAAACUUUCAAGCAGAGCCUGUUGGCGCGGCUAGGACGCCGGAGAAGCGACGGGAAUUCCGGGCUCCGCAGGACAAGCAGGCUGGCACAGAACCCAGGCCAGGGCGUGGGGAAGCGGCAGAGCAGCGACCGAGAGGAGCGGAGUGGGACCUUCGCCUCCCCUGGCAGCAGCGGUGCCAGUGCCAGAGCCGCGCGGGCCGCUAAGGACUUUUGCGGGCAGAGCCGCCGCUGACGGGAAGUUUGGUGCGCUCGAUCCGGCGCGCUGGUUCCAGUGUUGCCUGCCUGCCUCCCCCAGCCCCAGCGCCGCCCGUUGCGCUACUCACACGAUCCACAUGCCAGUGAUGCUGAAGGCGGGGAGGGCGAUGGGCAGGAUCACCCAGGCUGGCAUCUUGGGUUCGAGGCGCGCCCGCAAGGGGGAGCUCGCCCGCCCAGGCACCAUUCGGAGGGCGCCAGGAGGGAGUCAGAUGGGGCGCGCCCGGCCGCGACAAGGCCCCCUUCUCUUCCCUCCCCUUCUCGGCGGACUGGAGCACGGUGUGGCGACGCCAGACUCCGCUUGACUCUGAACCACUAGCAGAGACUGAAGAGCAGCUCUCCCCCCCACCCGAAGAGGAGGAGGAGGAGGAGCGAGGCCAGCGUGGGACGGGGCGACCCCGCCUCGGGGGCUGGUCCCAACACUCUACCCGCCCCAGCCCGGAGAGAUUGGGGAGGGGGGUGCAAGCGGGCCUCUUUUGGGAAGGAAGCGACCCGUGCUCAGUGAUAAUAGGCGCUAUUGCCACAAUCAAAGUAAGAAGUUGGGAAUUGUCCGUGGAGGGGGCCGGUUUCCUCUGCGUCGCUGCGCUCGCAGACGCUGGGCGAAGGUAGACCCUCUCCAAAUGGGAAAGGGAUGAGCCUCCAGCCCCGGUUUCGGGGCUUCCCGAUUGCCGCCCAGCCAGAAGAGAGGGACGGGCCUCCGAGGCUUGAUAAGUUACCGUACAGAGGACUUGAGUGGCGCUGCCGUUUCUGACAGUAAUGGGAGCGGGAGAAGAAAGGCAGGGGCCUUUCCCAGCCACAGCUGAAGAGGCUGGGUAUUGAAGCUGCGGCCUUGUGGAUGCCAAGCAGAUGCUCUGGAGCUUGGGUCCUUGCCUGCCCCCCACCCAAAAACGACCUUUAAGAAUAUCUAGCACAUCUAAGGACACUCCCUUCUGACUCAGCCUCCUGCUCAAGCCCGAGUGGUGUUCCCAAGUCACCUAUCCACCGUCCUAAUGAUCCCUCACCAAUAAUGGGCAAUAUUUAAAAAAUGCCUCUGCUUUGAACCAGAAGAGUGAGGUGGAGAUGUGCUGGAAGCGGCAGAAAGUGUUUCUACGGUCCGUUCAGACAUAAGCAUCCCUUGAAGACAUCAUCAGCUGCUGACGUGAGAGCAUGAGCUUGGGGCAGGGCUGUAGCUCAGUGGCGGAGCACCUGCUUUGCGUGCAAAAGGUCCCAGGUUCAAUCCCUGGCAUCUUCGGCCUUAUAUUUGAAACAAAGGUGUACAAAGCUCCUGUAUGAGGUAUAGUGAGUUCCAUGUUAUCUGGGUGAUGACACUUCUGCCAGCAGACAUCCAGCACCAUGAGAACCUCAGUGAAUACUGUUGACAGACUGAAUGGGAGGACUUGGUAUCAAGUCAUUAUAUUAGCUGUAGCAAAUUUCAGCUCCAGGUGAUGCUUUAGAUAGCAAUGGCUAACCUGUUGCCCUCCAUAACCUCCAUCAUUGCUGACCGUUGGCUAUGCUGGCUGACGCUCUUGGGACCCGGAGUCUAAUAAUAUCUGAAGAACCACAAUUUCCCCCCUCAUGCUUUGGAUGGAUGGGGGCAUUGAGAACGGAUUUCAGAACCCAAGGCAGCAUACAUAUGGUUCCCAAGCAGUCUCCCAUCCAGACACUGACCAGAGCUGGUUAGCUUCAGCAUGUGCCUUCAAGACCAUAGCCUGGUUUGACUAUCAUGCUAGAAAACAGAAGAUCACAUCGGCCUAGCCCCACAGCAUGGCACAAAGACAAGUAGAAAAGUUUCUGUGGGCUUCCUUGGUGAACUUCUGACAGUGAACAAAAGAAUCUACAAUGUGCGUUUCCCAAGGAACAGAAAAGUUGGGGCCACGACUGGCCCAUCAGCAGCACUUCUUAGAGGAAUGCUGUGCCAUGUGGUACGCAGCUGCAAACAUACAAAAAGGGGGAGAACACACAGAGCAAGAGCGCUUCUAGACCACUUGUUUAUUGAGCAUUCAUCCUGCUUUGUUUGCAGAGAGAUUAGAUGACACAAUCAAAAUCAAGUGUCAUCCACACAUUCCAGUGCAUUUUCCCAUCAUACUCUGUAUCGCAGAAUGUCUGUUCUUUGGGUGAAGUGAGUUUCAUGCUCCAAAUCAACUUUAAUUGUGUGACCUGAAUUUGUCAGUAUGUGAUUUGAAUCCCACCUGCAAAUAGUGAGUCUGGAAGCUGCCCUAGUUGUUCUUGAAGGUACCACUGUGGUGUUUAAAUAAAAAUCUGGGAAGUUGUGGGAUCCACCCUCUUGGGCACAUAUCCCGGACCAGGGUGGCACAGUACACCAUAUAUCUCACACACAAAAGCACACUUUCUAGGUCUAGAAAUGUGAAGGUGUCUGAUGCAGGCUAAUCCACGUGUGUGCCUGCAUGAUUACAAAGGAAACAGAUACACAAUUCCAAAGAGACUAAAAUGCCUUUAAAUUGCAGCCAUGGGGGUGGGUGGGUGGAGCAAGCAGGAUUGGACUGUGGUAUAAGCAGAGGGUUUUCUAAUUUUCCCCCACCUAUGCCAUGGUUCCAAUUAUUUCCCCAACUUGUUACUUGCAUCAGGAGGGAAGGUGCCAUUGGUGCUGCCUGAAACAGAGACUGCAGCUGCAAAUUCCAGGUUAGCCACCCUUAAUGUUACACAGCACAUAAUUUCCUUGUUGGUGGUAAAGGUCAAUAUGUUAAAGAUGAUUGCUUGGGGAAUACACCUCCAGCAGGUGAAAGUUCUAGGGAUUCAUAUGGAUAUUUGAUCAAGCAGAUCCAAUCGUUCUUUAAAGAAAUCGGUCACAAAUUCAAUUAUAUUGUGCUCUUCUAUGCAUUGUGGAAGUACGGCCCACUGCACAUGACUAUGCCUACUAUGCCCCUCCAGGUCCAUGAUUUUAGCUCUCAGAGAGGCCAUCUUUAGUUGUUGUUGUUGCUCAGGGAUAGACUCUACACUUGGCCUAACUUCCACACUGAAGAUGCUCAAUUCUUCCAUCUCCAUCCUCAAAAUAACCUGCCCCACCAGCUAUAACAAUAGUUUUGCAUUCUUUUAAGCUUUGAAAAGGUUUCCUCAGCCGGUUAUUUAAGGGGGACAUAGAUAUGCAUAAUUUCCAAGAAAAGAGCUUACAGGUAGACACUGUCUUCUGCCUUUACCAUCAGGGAGGAGCUCCCCAAGAGCUGUGUUAACUGGCAGAACAAAAUCUAGAUUUGUAGUACAAACAGUACGACGUUUUGGCAUAAGUUUUGAAAAGGCGAUACAAAAUUUGGGGGUCCAUGGUUAACAGCCAUAGAAAACCUACCCUACUUAUUCUACUUCAGGGGUGGGGAAUGAAUGUGCUGGAUGUGGCCCAUGAUGCUUCCCUAUCUGGCCCACAGUAUUGCAUCCUUGUUCCACCCCGCAAGUUUAGGGUCCUUCCUCACACAGUAACAUCUCCUCCUCCUAAUUACACUAGAGCUGCGCCACUCAGUGACUUUUGAUUGGCAGCAGAUCUAGGACAUACAAAGAUACUUCUUCACACAAUACAUAACCAACAUAUAGAGUUCACUGCCACGUUGUGUUGAUGGCCACUAGCAGCUUUAAAAGGGGAUCAGAUAAACUCAUGAAGAAGCCUAUCAAUAGUUAUUAAACCAUAAUGAAUAACUAAAAUCUCCAUGUUCAGAAACAGUGGGGGGCAGGUGCAGACAGGGGCUAACGAGGGGGAGGCUGUUGCUUUCUUGCCCUACAUGUGGACUUCCAGGAUAAAUCUCUGGGCACAGUUGGAAAUAGGAAGCUAUUAAAUCCACCCUUGGUCCGAUUACUGGAACUCUUAUGUAGAAUUAAUUGCCACAAGAAGUAGUAAUGACCAGAAGCCCAGAUGGCUUUUUAAAAAUGGUUUAGCCACAAAAGCUGAAUUAUAGCCGUUUGGAAGCAGAAUACUUCUGAAUGCUCAGUGCGUUCAAAAGAACAUCAUCAUCAUUCCCUGCUGGUGAACUUCCAUCAGCAUUUGGGUUGCUGUUGUGGUCAAUGAGAUGUUGGACUACAUGGACCUUGCUCUGAUCUUGCAAGGCAGCUCUUGUAUACAUUGGUGCAUAUUCUGUUAUAACUGAUGACUGUAAAAGCAAACGUACGUGUGUGUGUGAGAGAGAAUCUUGUUCACAUUUACCUUUUCCUGAGCUAUUAUGCCUUAUUUUUCCUGUACAGCUUCUGUUGCAUUUGCAUGCUGUAAUUACUUUCAAUGUAAAUAAAGAUUAAAAGACAUAAUGUGAUGGGAGCUAGUCACAAGUAUCCUAUCAAACAAUCCACUAGGAAGAAAUGGCACUCUUCAUAAGCAGAGAGGAUCAUGAUGCUUACUUCAGGAAACUCUGGCUGUUCUUGUUAGGUGGAGGUUCGUGGUAAGAGAAUCUCUGCAAUGGAUUGCACUCAAAGCAUUUUCCUCAGCUGGGAUGUUAGGAUUAAGUAGAAUGUUGUUCAUUAAUGACCUAGAAUUAGGAGUGAGUAGUGAAGUGGCCAAGUUUGCUGACGAUACUAAAUUGUUCAGGGUUGUUAAAACAAAAAGGGAUUGCGAAGAGCUCCAAAAAGACCUCUCCAAACUGAG